rnacentral:rRNA from 1 species
GAGGGGUGCAAGCGUUGUUCGGAAUCACUGGGCGUAAAGGGAGCGCAGGCGGAAGUUCAAGCGGAUUGUACAAUACCGGGGCCCAACCCCGGGCCUGCAGUCCGAACUGGACUUCUUGGAUUGUUCAGGGGCAAGCGGAAUUCCUGGUGUAGCGGUGGAAUGCGUAGAGAUCAGGAAGAACACCGAUGGCGAAGGCAGCUUGCUGGGGACAUAUCGACGCUCAUGCUCGAAAGUGCGGGUAGCAAACAGGAUUAGAUACUCUGGUAGUCCGCACCGUAAACGAUGCAUACUGGGUGUCCGCGAUUCGUCGCGGGUACCGAAGCCAACGCGUUAAGUAUGCCGCCUGGGGAGUACGUACGCAAGUAUG